rnacentral:rRNA from 1 species
UACAGAGGGGCAAGCGUUUAUUCGGAAUUAUUGGGCGUAAAGGGCGCGUAGGCGGCCGUUCAAGUGGCGGGUGAAAUCCCUCGGCUUAACCGAGGAACUGCCUGCCAGACUGGAUGGCUUGAGACCGGGAGAGGUGAGUGGAAUUCCCAGUGUAGCGGUGAAAUGCGUAGAUAUUGGGAGGAACACCAGUGGCGAAGGCGGCAUCCUGGACCGGUAUUGACGCUGAUGCGCGAAAGCCAGGGGAGCAAACGGG